CAGUCGCCGCGGUAAUACGAAGGUCCCGAGCGUUGUUCGGAAUCACUGGGCGUAGAGGGAGCGUAGGCGGCGUGGUAAGUCAGAUGUGAAAUCCCGGGGCUCAACCCCGGAACUGCAUCCGAUACUGCCAUGCUAGAGGAUUGGAGAGGUAGCUGGAAUUCUUGGUGUAGCAGUGAAAUGCGUGGAGAUAAAGAGGAACACUCGUGGCGAAAGCGAGCUACUGGACAAUAACUGACGCUGAGGCUCGAAGGCCAGGGUAGCGAAAGGGAUUAGAGACCCGUGUAGUCCCUGUCUCUUAUAC
rnacentral:rRNA from 1 species